rnacentral:rRNA from 1 species
ACCCGCUGAACUUAAGCAUAUCACUAAGUGGAGGAAAAGAAAACAACCGUGAUUCCCCUAGUAACUGCGAGUGAAGCGGGAAGAGCCCAGGCCGAACCGGCCCUUUGAUUUAUUUUGGGUUGGGAUGUAGUUAGGCUAAAUCAACCGGCCCCUAGAAUUUAUUCUUGCCACUGGGAAGAGCCCUGGGAUGGGCCGCUAGAGAUGGUGAAAGCCCGGUACUGGUGGCGGGGGCCGGGCGCUGGCCUAGUAGAGUCAGGCUGUUUGGGACUGCAGCCCAAAGCGGGAGGUGCUCCCCUCCCAAGGCUAAAUAUGGACGCGGAGCCGAUAGCGAACAAGUACUGUGAAGGAAAGUUGAAACAGGCGCCUGAGAGGGCGGUCAAAAGUACGUGAAACCGCCAGCGGGGAAGCGGGGGGCCGUAUCGGGGUCCAAAUUUAUUUUUCAAAUUGAGAGCCUAAUUGUUGGGCUCUUAUUUUAAAUGAGAAUUUGUGACGCGCCGGGACGCCCGGCGUUUGUGCAGGCGCUUGUUGGGCAGCAGGGCCUCUGCUCGCCUAGUAAAUAAAUUGGGUGAACAGAUUUUGGUGCGGCGAGCUAGCAGGGGCAAACGCUGGGCAGCAUGUAGAGAGCCGGGUAAUUUGGGCUAGGCCAAAUUUUCUGCUGGAGCUAGUCUUUGGCGCAGAGUUGGGGCCCUAGUAAAUAAAUUAGUUGGCAGCACCCGGCGAGACAGCGGGCUCCCCGACCCGUCUUGAAACACGGACCAAGGAGGCUGAGGCGGAGGCGAGUAGCAGGGUGGCAAGCCCGGUUGCGGAGCGAAAGCGCGAGAGCGCCCGCUUGAAUUUGCAUUUUUUUAAAAUGGAUUUGAGGCGGGCAACUCUGGCCUCCCAAACUAAAUUUCAAAAUUUAAUGGGGGAGCCGGAGCCUCCGCCGCAGGACCCGAAAGAUGGUGAACUAUGCUUGGCCAGGGCGAAGCCAGGGGAAACUCUGGUGGAGGCCCGAACAAGUUUUGACGUGCAAAUCAAUUUGGCGAGCUGAGUAUAGGGGCGAUAGACCAAUCGAACCUUCUAGUAGCUGGUUCCCUCGAAUUUUCCCUCAGGAUCGCUUGGGGCGCGGCAAGCAGCCUCACCCGGGUAGAGCGGAUAUGAUGAGAGGCACCGGGGCCCCAGAAUCCCCGGCCUACUGUCAAACUACCAACCGGUGAAAGUAGGCCGGCAGCCUAGGCGUGCCGGUCGAGUUUUGAAAAAAGUGUUUUUCGAGGCUAGAGAGCCGGAUGGAGCGCCUCAAGUGGGCCAUUUUUGGUAAGCAGAACUGGCGAUGCGGGAUGAACCGAGAGCCCGGCUAAGGCGCCCAAGGCAGCUCGAGAGGGACCAUGAAAGGAGUUGGUCGAUCUAGACAGCAGGGCGGUGUCCCUGAGGGUAGGAAUCCGCCAAGGAGUGUCUAACAACUCACCUGCCGAAUCGACCGGCCCUGAAAAUGGAUGGCGCUCAGGAGUGCGGCCGAGGCCGGGCCGCUCUCAGUUUUUGAAAAUGAGAGCGGGUAGGAGGGCGAGCCGGUAGUGAGCAAGGCCUUGUGUGAAUGAGGCCGGAGCUGCCGGCUGUGCAGAUCUUGGUGGUAGUAGCACUAGUGAGCUGGGAGAACCGGCUCAGGGCCGAAGCGGAGAAGGGUUCCGUGUCGACAGGGCUUGAGCACGGGUGAGUCGGUCCUAAGUCGAAUCUAGUUGAUUAGAUAGGGGCAAUUAGCCUCGGAAUGAGAAUUUGAAAAUUUACAUUUCAAGCGGGAAUUCUGGGGUGUGUUCGCCGACGAAAGGGAAGCAGGCCAACAUUCCUGCACCGGACGCCGAAUUUCAAUUUCUCCACUGUAAGCGGAGAAUUUGGGGCGGCAACGAAUCACCGCCGGACACCCUAGCCGCACAGUCGGGGGGAGUUUUCUCGUCCGCGUAACUGGUAGCCGGCCUUGGAAGCGGGUCUUUCGGCGAAGAGGCAGCGGACCAGGAAGCGCCCCGCUCUAGGGCGGGGUCUGUGCUGGCGCGGCUGGGCCGUGAAACUCCGGCUUGGUAAAUUUUAAAUUUUUUGGCGUCCGACCGUACCGAAACCGCAUCAGGUCUCCAAGGUGA